rnacentral:rRNA from 1 species
GACGAACGCUGGCGGCGUGCUUAACACAUGCAAGUCGAACGGAAAGGCCCUGCCUUUGUGGGGUGCUCGAGUGGCGAACGGGUGAGUAACACGUGAGUAACCUGCCCCUGACUUUGGGAUAACUUCAGGAAACUGGGGCUAAUACCGGAUAGGAGCUCCUGCUGCAUGGUGGGGGUUGGAAAGUUUCGGCGGUUGGGGAUGGACUCGCGGCUUAUCAGCUUGUUGGUGGGGUAGUGGCUUACCAAGGCUUUGACGGGUAGCCGGCCUGAGAGGGUGACCGGCCACAUUGGGACUGAGAUACGGCCCAGACUCCUACGGGAGGCAGCAGUGGGGAAUAUUGCACAAUGGGCGGAAGCCUGAUGCAGCAACGCCGCGUGCGGGAUGACGGCCUUCGGGUUGUAAACCGCUUUCGCCUGUGACGAAGCGUGAGUGACGGUAAUGGGUAAAGAAGCACCGGCUAACUACGUG